UACGGGGGGGAGCAAGCGUUGUUCGGAUUUACUGGGCGUAAAGGGCGCGUAGGCGGCGUAACAAGUCACUUGUGAAAUCUCCGGGCUUAACCCGGAGCGGCCAAGUGAUACUGUUGUGCUAGAGUGCGGAAGGGGCUACUGGAAUUCUCGGUGUAGCGGUGAAAUGCGUAGAUAUCGAGAGGAACACCUGCGGCGAAGGCGGCUCUCUGGGACGGUACUGACGCUGAGACGCGAAAGCGUGGGGAGCGAACAGG
rnacentral:rRNA from 1 species